UACUCUUUCAGCGAAGGCGAGGACACAAGAGACGCCUCUUUCCCCCUUUGUGCGCCUGUCUCCCACCUCUGCAUUUGAAUGUGGGGUGAUGAACUCUCCCACGGCGGGGAGCGCGCGCCUUUUGGGAAUUAUCCACGCGGCACGCCUCGCGCUUUGAGCUUGAACUUGACCGCAGGAAUGCGGCUCGUGGGAACGCCGGCUCGAGGCUGCCCCCGUCCAUUCACGGCGCACAGGUCGGUGUCAGCUCAGAUUAUCAUAAAACCCAGCCUGCUUCAGAUUAAGUCCCUCUUUCACACCAGGCAGAGGAGGAAUUAACAGCUCUCUGCACGAGCCUGCUGCGGGAAGGCUGACCUAAAGUCUGCAUUCAUUCAGAAGACAAACUGCCUGCAGAGAGGAUGAGGAGCAUCCGUCAGCCUGCAGAUGGAGACAUGGGUGGGUGGUUGGAAGGCUGGUAGAUGACUGAACUCGGAGACCCUGCACAGCUCAUCAUCAUUGCCAGGGGCUCUCGUCUUUUUCCUCCCCUCCCAUGGCUCGUACCUCCAUCCUGGAGUCCAGCAGAGUCAGUGAAGCCCAGGCGGGCGGCGAGUGAGUGGGCUGGGAAGGAUGGAUACCUCUGGAGCUACCAUGCAGGAGAAAUCAAUACCAAACACAGAAUCUUCACAGCUCUGAGUGGGGUUUCCUGUGUUUUUAAGUGUGUGGCUUAGGGGGCCGGCAAACCUCCAAAGGACAGGCCCUGCACGGCUCCUUCAGCUGCAGCCCCUGCUCGUUUCUGGACCUCAGUCGCCAUCUCCGCUGGCUGUGUGUGGUUCUGCUGCGGGGGGUUUCUCCCCAAACGAUGCCGAAAGACUGCUGAGAGGGAUUUUCUCUUCCCUUUGUUUUUAUUUUUCCCCCC